CCUGCGAUGGCUGAGUGGUUAAGGUGUUGGACUUGAAAUCUAAUAGGGUUUCCCCAUGCAGGUUCAAAUCCUGCUUGUAGCG